UCAGUGAUCCCAGUGCUGAUUUUGGUGAUCCCAGUGCUGAAUUCAGUGAUCCCAGUGCUGAUUUCCUGGUCCCAGGCUGAUUUCAGUGAUCCCAGUACUGAUUCCUCCAUCCCAGUGAUCCCAGUGAUCCCAGUGCUGAAUUCAGUGAUCCCAGUGCUGAUUUCAGUGAUCCCAGUGCUGAUCUCAGUGCUGAUUUUGGUGAUCCCAGUACUGAAUUCAGUGAUCCCAGUGCUGAUUUGUGAUCCCAGGGCUGAUUUUGGUGAUCCCAGUACUGAUCUCAGUGAUCCCAGUGCUGAUUCCUCCAUCCUAGUGCUGAAUUCAGUGAUCCCAGUGCUGAUUUUGGUGAUCCCACUGCUGAUUUCAGUGAUCCCAGUGCUGAUUUUGGUGAUCCCAGUGCUGAAUUCAGUGACCCCAGUGCUGAAUUCAGUGACCCCAGUGCUGAUUUCGGUGAUCCCAGUGCUGAUUCCUCCAUCCCAGUGAUCCCAGUGAUCCCAGUGCUGAAUUCAGUGAUCCCAGUGAUCCCAGUGCUGGAUUCCCUGUUCCCAGUGCUGAUUCCCUCCACCCCACUGAUUCCUCACGGAGCAGGGUGUGAAAUGAAGCACUCCUGGGAAGGUGGGAGCCAUUCCCAGUAACCACUGCCCCAUCCUGACUGGAAAAGCUCCCUCCUGGUUCCCUCCUGUUCCCUCCUGUCCCUGCCUUUCUCCUGGAGCCCCAGAGCGCCUCCAUCC
rnacentral:lncRNA from 1 species